rnacentral:lncRNA from 1 species
GUUCAGCAAAUGAGUGUGGAGAGGCUAAUGCACUUGUAUCUAGCUGUGUCUUUGGAACACUCAUGAAUAAGGCUGAGCCUGCUACUAGGUUUUCUAAAGGUAGGAACUAGGUCUAACGCCAGGAGAUGCAAGAUGUACGAGAUACUAUUGGUUGAUUCCGUAAUCGGCGCGGUGGGCUACUGCAUCGGAGUGGCCAGACUACACCUGAAAGAGCAUAUGCAGCAGCAUCGAUGUGAUAUACAAAGUAAUAGGGAAGGUACAGCUAGCGCAAGCUGCCUACUCAAAGGACCGGUCUGUUAUAUGGGACAAUGCAAAAAUCGUCAAUUCACUGCGUGCC